rnacentral:rRNA from 1 species
GAUGAACGCUGGCGGCGUGCCUAAUACAUGCAAGUCGAGCGAACGGACGAGAAGCUUGCUUCUCUGAUGUUAGCGGCGGACGGGUGAGUAACACGUGGAUAACCUACCUAUAAGACUGGGAUAACUUCGGGAAACCGUAGCUAAUACCGGAUAAUAUUUUGAACCGCAUGGUUCAAAAGUGAAAGACGGUCUUGCUGUCACUUAUAGAUGGAUCCGCGCUGCAUUAGCUAGUUGGUAAGGUAACGGCUUACCAAGGCAACGAUGCAUAGCCGACCUGAGAGGGUGAUCGGCCACACUGGAACUGAGACACGGUCCAGACUCCUACGGGAGGCAGCAGUAGGGAAUCUUCCGCAAUGGGCGAAAGUCUGACGGAGCAACGCCGCGUGAGCGAUGAAGGUCUUCGGAUCGUAAAACUCUGUUAUUAGGGAAGAACAUAUGUGUAAGUAACUGUGCACAUCUUGACGGUACCUAAUCAGAAAGCCACGGCUAACUACGUG